UGUCUGCCGCACAGGGCAGUUCUUUUUGGCUAGUUUUCCGCGAGUGAAGAGCGGAAAUGUUUUUUUUUUUACAACAAAAGAACAAAAAGAACCGAUAAAGGAUUUAUAGCCGUAUAGAAUGUCGCUGUAGUAAUAACAGCUUCUCGGAAACUCGUGUAUGGCGAUCGCCCUCGUGUUAAUUAGCCGUGUCUCCGCACAAUGAUAUCACUAGCCGGUACACAAGGACCCGACGGACCGAUGGGAGAGAUAAGGCCAUGACUCACUGCAAGCGGAGCUGCGUUUGCGGUCCACAUAUCCAGAUGUGUGCUGCCUAGUGCUCGUCAAUACAUACCAGACAGUUUUCGUUCGAAGUUUCAUACCCUUUGGUCAGAGUGCACCAACUUCGAUGGCGAAGCCGCGCCUACACAACUGCACAGAUCAACAUUGGUGGUUUGAAGUUGAAGAUGGCGAGGUUAACGCUAAUAUUGCUGGCAUUGUCAUUGACUAUCGUAUAGUUGUUGUGCAAGUAGACAAGUGGACCAAAGACGAUACAGUCGCAAUACAAGCUGGAAAACGCCAUCAUGACCAGGACGUGUACUUCGUCAAAGUCAAGAGAUUCCUUGUGGAGGAGAACCUUUUCUGCCAGAAGUUUCGUGGAUGUGUGACGGAUGAUCAGUUUCGUGACAAGUAAUAUGAUCUGGACGCGUUUGGACCAUUCAGCAAGAUACACCUACGAAAAGGAAAAACACUGGAGCUCACGAUCGUCGUGAAGAACAACGCCCAUUCCAGACAAGGAGCUGGUGAUUCGACUCUUCAUGGCGAGGAGACAUGUGACUGCGGAGGCGCUUGCAACUGUCACGGCUUCCACGUCAAACAAAGAGGAGAACUGUGAUCUUCCAGUGGGUCGCAUCA